rnacentral:rRNA from 1 species
CCUACGGGAGGCAGCAGUGAGGAAUAUUGGUCAAUGGUCGGGAGACUGAACCAGCCAAGCCGCGUGAGGGAUGAAGGUACAGAGUAUCGUAAACCUCUUUUGUCAGGGAACAAAGGCGGGGACGCGUCCCCGGAUGAGUGUACCUGAAGAAAAAGCAUCGGCUAACUCCGUGCCAGCAGCCGCGGUAAUACGGAGGAUGCGAGCGUUAUCCGGAUUUAUUGGGUUUAAAGGGUGCGCAGGCGGUCUGUUAAGUCAGCGGUAAAAGCCCGGGGCUCAACCCCGGCCCGCCGUUGAAACUGGCAGUCUCGAGUUGGAGAGAAGUAGGCGGAAGGCGCGGUGUAGCGGUGAAAUGCAUAGAUAUCGCGCAGAACUCCGAUUGCGAAGGCAGCAUGCCGGCUCCACACUGACGCUGAGGCACGAAAGCGUGGGUAUCGAACAGGAUUAGAUACCCUUGUAGUC